CUUUCCCUCCACGACCCUCCUCCUUGCUGAUCACUUUCUGGAUGUAGGGAAGCAACCCGGCACACAGCCAUGGUGGCCGGGCCUCCAGGUAGACUUACC